UUGCCUGAAAUGUCGAUUCUUCUGCUCCUUGGAUGCUGCCUGACCUGCUGUGCUUUUCCAGCACCACAUCACUAUUAUAGUCUACAUUCUUUAAUACUCAAUAUUCACUCACGAUGAAGCUUUUGUUAAAGAUAUAAUUGUCACCAAAACAAUCUAGACUAGGACUUAAGUAAUAGUUCAAGAAAUUCAGUCUGUAUACUGCUGUGAAUCAUUGCAUAGUAUAGCACCGAAAAUGACUUUGAAAGAGGAGCAAUUAAUCCCACUUGGCUGAUCUUUUCCCACAGAGUGCAUCUUCUGCAUUUUAUUUGCUUGCUUGUUCAUUUACAGUAGUUUUGGCAAGUCUAUUCUCUUAAAACUUAGAGCGAAACAAUUACUGUAGUUUAGUGGAGAGGGUAAAGCUAACCAAGCCUCUGUUGACAAAGUCUGUUUUCAUGUUAUUGUGUUUCUAGUGCUUGUUCUGUGAAAGAUAGUAUCUUCAGAAUCCACCUGUGCUCAUUGUAAAGACAACCAUGUCAGGGAGAAUAAAGCGUUACAAAUUAUAUUUGGCAUAUGUGUUUUUUCUAAAUAUCAAAUUUUAGUAAAUGGCAUGGCUGGAUUUGAACCUAUCACAUCAGCCUGGGUUUCUGGAUUACCAACAUCAUCACUGUACCACCACUUCCCCUUUUCUCCUUAGCUAGGAUGCAAAGUGAACUCAUUCAUUUGUUGUUCAUCUGAGAACUGGGUUAACCCUUCCUUGAGUAAGAAUGAAGUUGAAAAUAAAAUUCUUAAAACAGAGGACCUGAUAGGUUGGAUUUUAAGAAAUCUCACACACUCACACACACACACACACACAAACAGCUGGAUGUGUUUUCAGUGGUGUGUACAGCAUAUAAAAUUCAAGGGGAUACAUGCCACUGCCGUCCUGUUCAAGUCCCUAUAAAUAUGUUGGAUACUUGUAUAACAAAAUGGAUUUUCUGUCUUUGAUUUUUGUAUCUUCUAAUCCAUUGUUCAGGGAUGUUAUUACGGAUCUCUGAAACAUCUGGAACUUCAACCCAGGCCUCCUGGCUUAGAGAGAUGCCAGGCCUAUAGUUUCUCUAGCGUUUUCUGCUUUAGAAAAAGCUGACAGCCUUCUUAGCAACAUUCAAGUCACUCAUACAGUUCUACCUUCCAUCUGGUGAGGUGCUGAGCCGGAGCACUAAUAGCAGCAGAAACAUGCCAGUCAUUCUUCUGCCACUGUAUGGAACUGAAGAGAUUAAGAAAUCUCCAGGUCGUAAGAGCCACUAAACCCAGUUCAUGUGGAGGAUGAACUUUCCAAACGUGACUGAGCACUGAUGGCUUAGAAGAUAACUUUUAUACUGGGUAAACACUGAUAUUUGAAACCUCCUGGAACAAGGUGUCCUUCCAAUUGGACCAGGUGGGCAUACUUUCCAGCAAUGUUGAAGCCAAGUCCAGGGAAAUCAC